CUAAAGUAGAGUUAGGGGUCUGUAAUAGAGAUAAUUAGAACUUAUUUAAUUGGGGUUUAGAGUGGUCAAUUCAAGUUAAAGUUUUGUUUUCAGAUGAUUCUUAGUGACUAAGAGGUUGUAGGAACCAUUUAAACUUGUGUAGAGGGUCACCAAAAUCAGAAGAGAGUUUUAGAACCUGGUGUAGUGCCAAGCGGCCUUUUAAGCACCACUCAGGUGCCUCCUAAGCGCCCUUUUUGUGAGAAGAACUCGCUUGAGCACCC
rnacentral:lncRNA from 1 species